AUGAAGCUCCUAGAACUUUUCUCCCCUCUGGAUAGAGCCAAGUGGAAAUUGCUGCUGAGAUGUGAAGCCAGUAGGGCUGCUGCGCUGGGAGCCCUCCUGGCCACAGGUGAGGAGCCUCGCCACCUGCAAUACUCAGUAGGCCAAUCAAGCUGGCCCUGCAUGAGGUGUUGGACAUCCUGCACAGAGGCAGGUGAUACAAGAAGACAGGCUAAGCAGCAGCUACUUUCAUCAGUGAAGAAAUUUCAGUGAAGAAAUUGAAUCCCAGCUUUGACACUGCAGACUCUUCCCUGGGAGACUGUGCCCCUACUUUCCCCCCAAGUUUACUGGCUGAAGAGACUCCCUCUGUCCUUCUUCCCUCACUAAAAGCUGUUUUCUGUCCUUAGGUAGCUGGCGGUGGCUGACAGAACUCUGUGGAGAGGCAUGGUAAGGACAAGUAUGAGAGUGGACUAAGUGAAUUCCACAUUCAUACUGGGAAGGAAAAAGAUGAGUAUGUUUAGUUUUACUGAGAAAAAGGGUGUUCAUUAAUUAUACACAUCUGAGGCGGGUCUAACUUAAUUUUAUGGAUCCGGGAUAACAAAAAUAGAUGAAGAUGGGAUGACCUAAAUGCACAGACCAGGGAAUGGCACUAUGCUAAUUGGCAUGAGAGUAUGGAGGGGGAAAAACAAAACAAAACAAAAACACAGGUGAGGGCAGCUUAAAUUAAUGUGCUUUUUCUUUUUUUUUUCUUUUUUUUUUGAGAGAGGAAGUGUCAAUGAGUUGUGGGCAGUGCAAUUCGUUGACUCAUUAAAACCCUGUGUAUCUGGAGUCAGUUCUCAGAAUGAAGAUAACACUUGCGGUGGGCUUGUUCCCUUGGGACUCCAUGCAAAGCUUUGAUAACCCACUGCCUGAUUGAAAGAGAUGCAGCUAUGUUUAGACAGACAACCCCAAGAAUCAGAUCAAACUGUACUGCCCAAAUCCUCAACCCAGUUACACAUUAACCAGAUUCCUCUGUGUGGACCAGAAGAUAUGCAUAUUAAAUAUGCAUAUUCAUACUCAAGUUUCAGGGUGUUUUGAUUGGAUGUGAAGGUUCCUCAUCCAUGGGAAAAUAUUGUUAUGUUUUUCCUGGGUAAUUAAAAUCAAGCAGUGGCGAGAUUAGUGAGGCCUGGAGAUCCCUUUACUUUCAGCUAUUUUCAUUUGUAUUCUCAUUUAAAUAAAAAACAGUGGUUGUAGCUAUUUGUUUAAGAA
rnacentral:lncRNA from 1 species